UACGGGGGGGGGCUAGCGUUGUUCGGAAUUACUGGGCGUAAAGGGCGCGUAGGCGGUUCAUUAAGUUGGAUGUGAAAACUCUGGGCUUAACCCAGAGCCUGCAUUCAAAACUGAUGGGCUGGAGUUCUGGAGGGGAUAGCGGAAUUCCCAGUGUAGCGGUGAAAUGCGUAGAUACUGGGAGGAACACCGGUGGCGAAGGCGGCUACCUGGACCG
rnacentral:rRNA from 1 species